UACGAAGGGGGCUAGCGUUGCUCGGAAUCACUGGGCGUAAAGCGCACGUAGGCGGAUUGCUAAGUCAGGGGUGAAAUCCUGGAGCUCAACUCCAGAACUGCCUUUGAUACUGGCGACCUUGAGUCCGGGAGAGGUGAGUGGAACUGCGAGUGUAGAGGUGAAAUUCGUAGAUAUUCGCAAGAACACCAGUGGCGAAGGCGGCUCACUGGCCCGGUACUGACGCUGAGGUGGCGAAAGCGUGGGGAGCAACAGG
rnacentral:rRNA from 1 species